UCCCUGGUGGCUCAGACAGUAAAGAAUCUGCCUACAACGCAGGAGACCCAGGUUCAAUCCCUGGACUAGGAA
rnacentral:tRNA from 1 species